GGGGUUGUGACUCAGUGGCAGAGUGCUCGCUUAGCAUACGUGAGGCACUGGGUUUGAUCCUCAGCACCACA
rnacentral:tRNA from 1 species